CUUCAAUUUGCCAGCGCUGGAAAUCGAAGCUUUUCAUCUAAUGCCCCACUAAUUGAGAACUCUGAUGCUCAGAUUGUCGUUCCAGAUAGUUAUACACAGUAUAUCCCUUUGCCAAUCAGUGACCUUGAUUCUUGGUUGAAGACACCCUCCAUAUAUGUUUUUGAUUGCUCUGCAACUGGGGGAAUAUUGUGAAUGCUUUUAUUGAGCUUCAUGAUUGGGUUGCUUCUAGCUCCUCUGGAUCCACAAGGGAUUGCAUUCUACUUGGAGCUUGUGAAGGACAUGAGAC